rnacentral:rRNA from 1 species
UACGUAGGGGGCAAGCGUUGUCCGGAUUUAUUGGGCGUAAAGCGCUCGCAGGCGGUCGUUCAAGUCGAGUGUGAAAGCCCCCGGCUCAACUGGGGAGGGUCAUUCGAUACUGUUCGACUCGAAGGCAGGAGAGGGAAGUGGAAUUCCGGGUGUAGUGGUGAAAUGCGUAGAUAUCCGGAGGAACACCAGUGGCGAAGGCGACUUUCUGGCCUGUUCUUGACGCUGAGGCGCGAAAGCUAGGGGAGCAAACGGG